rnacentral:rRNA from 1 species
GGGUGCGACCAUACCAGCACUAAAGCACCAGAUCCCAUCAAAACUCCGAAGUUAAGCGUGCUUAGGCUAGAGUAGUACUAGGAUGGGUGACCCACUGGGAAGUCUUCGUGUUGCACCAC